GAGUUUGAUCCUGGCUCAGAUUGAACGCUGGCGGCAGGCCUAACACAUGCAAGUCGAGCGGAUGACGGGAGCUUGCUCCUUGAUUCAGCGGCGGACGGGUGAGUAAUGCCUAGGAAUCUGCCUGGUAGUGGGGGACAACGUUUCGAAAGGAACGCUAAUACCGCAUACGUCCUACGGGAGAAAGCAGGGGACCUUCGGGCCUUGCGCUAUCAGAUGAGCCUAGGUCGGAUUAGCUAGUUGGUGGGGUAAUGGCUCACCAAGGCGACGAUCCGUAACUGGUCUGAGAGGAUGAUCAGUCACACUGGAACUGAGACACGGUCCAGACUCCUACGGGAGGCAGCAGUGGGGAAUUUUGGACAAUGGGGGCAACCCGUGAUCCAGCCAUGCCGCGUGAGUGAAGAAGGCC
rnacentral:rRNA from 1 species